UACGUAGGGUGCAAGCGUUAUCCGGAAUCACUGGGCGUAAAGCGUGCGUAGGCGGCGUGUUAAGUGAGAUGUUAAAUCGUGUGGCUCAACCAUAUCGAUGCAUCUCAUACUGGCAUGCUAGAGGAAGGCAGAGGCAAGUGGAAUUGGUAGUGUAGCAGUGAAAUGCGUAGAUAUUACCAGGAACACCAAUGGCGAAGGCAGCUUGCUGGGCCUUUUCUGACGCUGAAGUACGAAAGCGUGGGGAGCGAACAGG
rnacentral:rRNA from 1 species